UACAGAGGGUGCAAGCGUUCUUCGGAAUGACUGGGCGUAAAGCGCGCGUAGGUGGUUUGUUAAGUCUGAUGUGAAAGCCCUGGGCUCAACCUGGGAACGGCAUUGGAAACUGGCUUACUAGAGGUGCGGUAGAGGGGUGUGGAAUUCCCGGUGUAGCAGUGAAAUGCGUAGAUAUCGGGGAGGAACAUCUGUGGCGAAGGCGACACCCUGGACCAGCACUGACACUGAGGCACGAAAGCGUGGGGGAGCAACAGG
rnacentral:rRNA from 1 species